rnacentral:rRNA from 1 species
UAUGUGAUCGUCUCUCGCAUAUCAAUAAGCGGAGGAAAAGAAACUAACAAGGAUUCCCCUAGUAACGGCGAGUGAAGCGGGAAGAGCUCAAAUUUGAAAUCUUAAAGUGUUUCCCUUUACGAAUUGUAGUUUAAAGAAGUGUUUUCUGUUGAGGUUUUGGUAAAAGUUCUUUGGAAUAGGACAUCAUAGAGGGUGAGAAUCCCGUAUUUGACCUUUACUUUCAACUUUGUGAUACACUUUCAAAGAGUCGGAUUGUUUGGGAAUGCAGUCCAAAAUGGGUGGUAAAUUUCAUCUAAAGCUAAAUAUUGGCGAGAGACCGAUAGCGAACAAGUACCGUGAGGGAAAGAUGAAAAGAACUUUGAAAAGAGAGUUAAACAGUACGUGAAAUUGUCAAAAGGGAAGCGUUUGACACCAGUGUUGUUUUUCUGAAAUCAAUUAAAGAACUGUUUAUGCUAAGUUGUUUAGACUUUAUCAGCUAACUGUUUAGUUUUGAGCUUUUCUUUAAUGCACUUUUCAGUUAACAAGUCAACAUCAAUUUCUUUUGCUGUAAAAAAGCUUGAGGAAGGUGGCUUGAGAUUCGUCUUAAGUGUUUAUAGCCUCUUGCCUAUGCAGUCGGAGAGAUUGAGGUCUGCAGCGUAGAUCCUUCGGGGCUAAAUGCAUUUGUGCUAAGUUAUAGCAUUUUAUAGACAACUUGUUGACUAUGAUUUGUCUUGUAGCUUACUCGCUUAUGUUAUUUUACCUACGCUUAGGAUGUUGACACACGCGCGUGCUCG